CCUCUCAUGGCGUAGUGGUUAACGCGCCCCAACUAGAGAUCGGGGAGUCGUGAGUUCUAUUCUCACUGAGAAGA
rnacentral:tRNA from 1 species